rnacentral:rRNA from 1 species
UUAGGUUAAGUUAUGAAGGGCGCAUGGUGAAUGCCUUGGUACUAGGAGCCGAUGAAGGACGGGACUAACACCGAUAUGCUUCGGGGAGCGGUAAGUACGCUUUGAUCCGGAGAUUUCCGAAUGGGGCAACCCAGUCAGCUUAGUCGCUGAUUACUUGACUAGUGAAUACAUAGCUAGCAAGAGGUAGACGCAGUGAACUGAAACAUCUUAGUAGCUGCAGGAAGAGAAAGAAACAUCGAUUCCCUGA